rnacentral:miRNA from 1 species
UCAUAGAAAAUUGAUUAA